AUUUUUUCCAGUUGUGUGCCAUGCAUUUAGGAGCCCAAAGUAAACGAUGGUUACACAGUGUCUCGUCUCAGUUUCCACACCUAUGAUCCUAACAGGUUUAUAAAAUGGAGCCAAGCAGUGGUGAAGAGCAGUUUUUGUGAAACCAAGGAUACCAAGGAUACAUCAAAAAUUUGAGUUAUUUUCAAAUAUGAGUUCCAUUGUUGAACCAAUGAAGCUCAAAAUAGCAAUGAAGUGUUUGGGAAGAAUGUGGCUAAUGCACACAUGGCACAU